CUUUUGUUUUGUUAUGUUUUGCACAUUUCUUUCUGAGGAACAGGAGGAGGUACUCAGGUUUUCAGGUCCUGCAUGAAGACUGGCAGCUGAGCAGGUGAGGUGAGGCCUUCGCUUUGCGUGAAUAGGAAGACCAUCCUCCACAGUGUUCACAAAUCAUCUAAAAUGAUGCGCUGAUGGAGACACAGAAGACAAAUUGCUGCUCUAACGGACACGACUACCACAGGCACCCUGCAGCAGAGGUGUCACAGAAGUCACCUCACCUGUCUGUCACCUGCUGAAUAACCCCUCUUCAUCCUCACAACAGAGAACUUAUGAUUCUGCCGGUAAAGACGUUUCGUUAUUUUUUUUUUUUCAUCAAACCACAUCAUUCGUUUUAAAAUGGUUGUUAUCUUGUUGACUGUUAAAGUCAAGCUCUGACCGGCUUCUAGGCCUGACACUCAUCCUCACUGCCCUCCUGACUCACCUAGUGACAUCUGACCCCUCCGCGUAUCGCUAACGGCCCUCGGAGUGUCUUCUGCUAUCUUUUACGUCCAGACAAGUCGCGUUUAUCUUCGAGGUCACGUGUUAGGCAUUUCUUCCUAUUAUGAUGUCUAUCUUGACUAGCAUGUCAUCAACACAUUGAAGUCACUUUAGGUUUUCUGUUGCCAUUUUUUGUUGGCACAAGGAAGCACUUUUUGUUCACCUGUGGAGCGCCUUGAGUGACUUUCCUGCAGUGUUUCCUUUGCUGCACAAACCUCUGGUUUUGGGGCCUCAUUUUUGCCUCAAAGUAGUGGCUCUCAUCAGCAUUUUUUUUUCCCUUCACAUUACCUCACUUUAGUCAGAAAUAGUAAAAGAAAAAAAUCAGUCUAUGCAGAUAUCAACAUAGAGAUAAUGCAUUUUUAUUUUUCCAUGUAUAUUUGAAUUAAUUAUAAUUGUACUUGACCAAUCAGAGCUGCCAAGAGAGUGGUCAGAAUAUAUUCAUUAGGUUCUUUUGAUUUUCUGCGACUAUGCACCUCCUCUGUGUUGGCAGGAACUUUCACUAAUGGUGCUUCUGCUGGUGCUCAAACUAAAUGGUGUCAGAAGAUCUAACCAGAGCAUCUUUUAGUCCUUUUACAGUAGAGGGACUUGGUCCCACAAUGGGCUUCAUAAGCAGCAGUACAAGACUGCUUUGUAUAUAUAUAUACUACUGGUUAAAAUCUGGGGAGGGGAGGGAGCUUUGUGAACAAUAAUUCAACAUUUUCUCCAAAACUAUGGCUGCCGUUGGCCUCAGAAGAGACUGUGACGCUAAGUAGACGUUUUCUCUGCAGAUCUAAGUGGUUCCAGUGACACCCCAGUCUCUCGAUGAGUCCUCGCCCCUCUCCUUCAUAAUCUUCCAGCAGUAGCCUGUGUGACCUCCCCACACAUAGUGACUUGUUUUCUCCUUCUCAACAAGGUGGCCUGUGCCUCGUAAAAUCUGUACACAAAAAAUAGAUAUGCAUAUAUUAUACAUAUAGAGAGAAAUCUAUAGAGUGUGUCUAUAUGUGGUCAAAAAUGUUUAAAACUAAUAAGAUAUACUAUAUGGUUUUUUUUUCCGUUUAUGGUUAUUUUUCUAACUGGCUCGAGGUCAGAGAUAUUUUAUUUAAGAGUGCUGCAAUGGGUGAAAUUUUCCUCAGAUUUGUACGCUGUGAUAAAACCCUUCAGCAGCUUAACAUUCCCUAUCUGAAAAUACAGACCAAUCCAGAAGAAGAAAGACAUAAAAUAUAUUAAAUAAGGUUCAGAGUGGCAGUUUAUGGGAAAGUGUGUCCAAAUUUAUCUAGCUGUCUAGAAAAGACGCCAUUAUUACAUUCCUUUAAAGGGAUAGUUGGGAGUUUUUGAGGAGGGGGUUCUUGUGGGAUUUAUAUCAGCAGUUGGACAUUUUGCUUCAAAUGUAGUUCACUGAACAAUUUCAAUUUGGAUGAAGGGAAAUUAUUUCCCACUGUAGAGUCAAGAUGACAACAGGUCAGAUUGGAUCCAGUUCCACAGAACUGUUUUGGUCUCUCACAAUAACUUUUAGCAGCAUGUGCACUAUCUUGUCAUUCUUUGCAUUAACAUUGCUUUUAUUUGGGACAAUCGUUUACAUGAAAGUUUGUUGUUAUUUAAGCAGCGAGGUGUGUUUCCCUGAGGCUCAUCAAUGACGACAUAUUGCAAUUAUGUUUGUUAAAAUUCAAACAAACAUACAAAAACUGUUUAAGGAAUUUAGGCAAAACCAAUGAGUGGCUCAAGUGAAUGCUAUUUUAUUAAUCUUUUUACGCUGCGUUAUUUUAUAUGUGAGGUAACGUGAGUUUUCUGUGGAUGUUCAAUGUGAAACUGAAACUAAUGUUACACAUAAUAAAGAUUAGGAUAAUAUAUGUGUGCAAGAGCCGUUAGGAAAAGGAUAUUCACAACCUCAGUACUAAAUAGUUUUCACAUCAUGUCAGGGGAUGUGAUGUUUUCAUGAACCAGUACUACAUUUUUUUUUUUAAAAUAGAGAUGCCAAUUUUAUUUGUUUAAGCGUGUUUUCUUUUUUUUCGCUUGUCUGUCAGUACCUUUUCAUUCGUUUGGACAGCUUUUCUCGCAUUAGUACAUAAAAUCAUCAUUUGAAAACAGCAUUUUGUACUAAUUCAAGUUUUCUUUAUUUGUUAUCUAGAUUUAUUAAUUACCUAAAACAUUAACAUGACAGAAAACAAAACCGAAGGCAAUUUGUAAAAGGAAAUAAGCAACUUCCGACUGCUGAUGACAAACGCCCAGAAUCCCACUUCUUAAAAUCCCUAACUAUGUCUUUAACACUAAAUCAACUCAGUUGAAGACCACUUAGCCUGUGGUGACAACUUUAAACAGAGAAAAAGUAUUUUUGAUUUUGUUUUGUAGCUCUCACAGGUAGCAGUGAGGUUCCUUCUGCUGCAAGCAGAAGCUUGCACUUGUAAAUGAGGACUAUCACAAUAUCCUCCAAGGAGAGGUUUCAGUGACUCUGUCUGGAUGCAUUUCUCCUACGUGUAUUUGUUGUUGUCGUCAUGUGAACUGAAGUGGUGACGUGUGUGUGACCGUGACAGCUGAUUUAGGUAGAAGAACCAUCACGUUGUUACAGUAUUAUGAGAAAAUGAAGCUGACUGUUACUAAUGCCCUCCUGCUUUCCUCGACCCUCCCGGUGUCUGUGUGUCAAGUGUUGGUUACUGUAAACAAAUGUCUCUCCAUCUCACCCAAAUCCUCUCAAACCAAGGUGAUCCACCCUUCAUUUUUUUUUUUUUUUUACUUUUGUCAUUCCCAAAGAAGCAGCUCCCACCAUUGAACAAAAACCAACAGGUUCAGCAAGACGUUGUUUGCUUGUUUUUGUUUACAAAUCUUGAUAUGAAGGCCUUUUUUAUCAUUAGAGAGACAGCGCAAACAGACAGAGGAGCAUAAAUCCUCACUUCACCAUCGGGGGGUUACGAAUCCUCCAUUUUCAGGUCCUUAUCUACUGAAUACUUGAAGUAGGGAGUUUUCCUACCAUGAUAUAGCAGACAUUAUUUAAACGAUAGACAACAUUUUAAUUGUGCCCAUGCAAGCUGAUUUUUACAUUAUGUGCCAAUUGAAGGUGAUGGUGUAUGGAUAAUCUACUGUACUCUGUGCAGUGAUUUCUCUAUUGUCGUGUCAAACGGAAAAAAAAAAAAAUCUAAAAAU